GACGAACGCUGGCGGCGUGCCUAAUACAUGCAAGUAGAACGCUGAAGGAGGAGCUUGCUCUUCUGGAUGAGUUGCGAACGGGUGAGUAACGCGUAGGUAACCUGCCUGGUAGCGGGGGAUAACUAUUGGAAACGAUAGCUAAUACCGCAUAAGAGUAGAUGUUGCAUGACAUUUGCUUAAAAGGUGCAAUUGCAUCACUACCAGAUGGACCUGCGUUGUAUUAGCUAGUUGGUGGGGUAACGGCUCACCAAGGCGACGAUACAUAGCCGACCUGAGAGGGUGAUCGGCCACACUGGGACUGAGACACGGCCCAGACUCCUACGGGAGGCAGCAGUAGGGAAUCUUCGGCAAUGGACGGAAGUCUGACCGAGCAACGCCGCGUGAGUGAAGAAGGUUUUCGGAUCGUAAAGCUCUGUUGUAAGAGAAGAACGAGUGUGAGAGUGGAAAGUUCACACUGUGUCGUAUCUACCAGAAAGGACG
rnacentral:rRNA from 1 species